GGGUUGUGAGGUUAAGCGACUAAGCGUACACGGUGGAUGCCCUGGCAGUCAGAGGCGAUGAAGGACGUGCUAAUCUGCGAAAAGCGUCGGUAAGGUGAUAUGAACCGUUAUAACCGGCGAUGUCCGAAUGGGGAAACCCAGUGUGAUUCGUCACACUAUCGUUAACUGAAUACAUAGGUUAACGAGGCGAACCGGGGGAACUGAAACAUCUAAGUACCCCGAGGAAAAGAAAUCAACCGAGAUUCCCCCAGUAGCGGCGAGCGAACGGGGAGCAGCCCAGAGUCUGAAUCAGCUUGUGUGUUAGUGGAACGGUCUGGAAAGUCCGACGGUACAGGGUGAUAGUCCCGUACACCAAAAUGCACAGGCUGUGAACUCGAAGAGUAGGGCGGGACACGUGGUAUCCUGUCUGAAUAUGGGGGGACCAUCCUCCAAGGCUAAAUACUCCUGACUGACCGAUAGUGAACCAGUACCGUGAGGGAAAGGCGAAAAGAACCCCGGCGAGGGGAGUGAAAAAGAACCUGAAACCGUGUACGUACAAGCAGUGGGAGCACCUUCGGGUGUGACUGCGUACCUUUUGUAUAAUGGGUCAGCGACUUAUAUUCUGUAGCAAGGUUAACCGUAUAGGGGAGCCGCAGGGAAACCGAGUCUUAACUGGGCGUUAAGUUGCAGGGUAUAGACCCGAAACCCGGUGAUCUAGCCAUGGGCAGGUUGAAGGUU
rnacentral:rRNA from 1 species